UACGAAGGGGGGCUAGCGUUGCUCGGAAUUACUGGGCGUAAAGCGCACGUAGGCGGCUUUCUAAGUCGGGGGUGAAAUCCUGGAGCUCAACUCCAGAACUGCCUUCGAUACUGGAGAGCUUGAGUCCGGGAGAGGUGAGUGGAACUGCGAGUGUAGAGGUGAAAUUCGGUAGAAUAUUCGCAAGGACACCAGGUGGCGAAAGGGCGGCCUCAGCUGGCCCGGUGACUG
rnacentral:rRNA from 1 species